UCAUACCACCCUGCAUGUCAUCUUCCUCAGACUUAGCAUCCUAAAAAUGGUUUUCCUGAGAGAGAAUGCAACUCUGAGGGCUUCCCUACUGUGUUCACAUCCCAUGCUUCUGGCACAGUGCCUGACAAGCCGUGGCUCCUCACCAUAGUUGCCUUGUGGAAUGGUCUUAAGAGUGGGAACAUCGCAUGUGAGCUACAGUCAGGAAUCUUUUUCUAUUCUGAAGUAGUUCAUGGAAAGCAUAAAAAUAUGGAAAGAAAGAAUAAAUGUCUUUGGGGGCUGACAGAAAAGAUAGCAGUUUUGCUGGACUUAUUAGGAAAUAUCUUUCUACUUUUUCUCCCAUAUAUAGUGUUUACCAUGGGUGAGGCUAGUCCAGAGGGAGGUGUCAGUUUCCCAAGUAGAGAUAUAAGUCUUUCUAGAGAUCAAAAUAAAUGUGUUCCACAGAACUACAAAAUGCUGGAUAACCUAAGGCCUGGGUUGAAAAAGCCCUCCUAGUGAAAGGCUGUAGUCGAGAAAAGGU
rnacentral:lncRNA from 1 species